rnacentral:rRNA from 1 species
GAUGAACGCUGGCGGCGUGCCUAAUACAUGCAAGUCGAGCGAACAGACGAGGAGCUUGCUCCUCUGACGUUAGCGGCGGACGGGUGAGUAACACGUGGAUAACCUACCUAUAAGACUGGGAUAACUUCGGGAAACCGGAGCUAAUACCGGAUAACAUGUGGAACCGCAUGGUUCAACAGUGAAAGACGGUCUUGCUGUCACUUAUAGAUGGAUCCGCGCCGCAUUAGCUAGUUGGUAAGGUAACGGCUUACCAAGGCAACGAUGCGUAGCCGACCUGAGAGGGUGAUCGGCCACACUGGAACUGAGACACGGUCCAGACUCCUACGGGAGGCAGCAGUAGGGAAUCUUGCGCAAUGGGCGAAAGCCUGACGGAGCAACGCCGCGUGAGUGAAGAAGGUCUUCGGAUCGUAAAACUCUGUUAUUCGGGAAGAACAAAUGUGUAAGUAACUAUGCACGUCUUGACGGUACCUAAUCAGAAAGCCACGGCUAACUACGUG